rnacentral:rRNA from 1 species
ACGUGCCUACGGGACGCAGCAGUGGGGAAUAUUGCACAAUGGGGGAAACCCUGAUGCAGCGACGCCGCGUGAGUGAAGAAGUAUCUCGGUACGUAAAGCUCUAUCAGCAGGGAAGAAAAAAAGUCCUUUGGACUUUGGACGGUACCUGACCAAGAAGCCCCGGCUAACUACGUGCCAGCAGCCGCGGUAAUACGUAGGGGGCAAGCGUUAUCCGGAUUUACUGGGUGUAAAGGGAGCGUAGACGGCAGCGCAAGUCUGGAGUGAAAUGCCGGGGCCCAACCCCGGCACUGCUUUGGAAACUGUGC